GGGCAGGUGUCCGAGUGGUUAAAGGAGACGGACUGUAAAUCCGUUGGCAUCGCCUACACAGGUUCGAACCCUGUCCUGCCCA
rnacentral:tRNA from 1 species